GGCAAACUUAUCGAAAGGUAAGGACGCAAAGCUUUGGGUCUAAGGACAGAUCUGUCUAUGAGCGCCAGGUUGC
rnacentral:ncRNA from 1 species